rnacentral:tRNA from 1 species
GCGGGUGUAGCUCAGUGGUAGAGCGCAACCUUGCCAAGGUUGAUGUCGCGCGUUCGAUCCGCGUCACCCGCU